UAGUCCAAGCUAUGCCUAUAUGCAUACCGGUAAUCAACUACGACGACGAUUAGCUUUCUUCCGUUUCCACCAUUUCCCUGCACACUGUUCCAUUCUACUUAGCCUACAGACGCUAGGUUGUUUCGGGAAAAAGGACAGUUUCAAUAUUGGAUGUAUAUGGAAAAGAUCAUGUAACAAAAGAAAUUAUAAAAGUAAAAAAAUGGAAGAAGAAAUGGCUGGAAAAAAUGAUGAUAGAGCAGCUUUUUCUUGUUAGCCACCUCGGAAGAUCAAGACAGCUGGAAAGGGCUAUUGAUAUUGUGGAAGUGUUUUCUUACAGAGGUUGCUUAUCAGACAAAGGCUAUUUAACUACAUCAGAAAGAUAAAAACAGUUGGAAAUGGCUAUUCAUAUUGUGGAAACUUUUCUCACAGAGCUUGAUAAUCAGGCAAAAUGCUGGAACACCCUUGAAAGAGUAUUUGGUGUAUGAUAACAACAAGAGAACCCAAGCAUCAAUUUAUUUUAUACUUCUGGGAAAGAAUGCAUUUGACCCAAUUUUUAAAUAUUUAUUUUUUGUUAUUAAUGUUAAAUUUUCUUCCAAAACACAAUUAGAUUUUAAUUCUCUUCAAAUAUGUAUGUAUAAUAUAGCAAGUAAACUGACAUAUAAAUCACUUAGAAUUUGGUCGGAAAUCAUAAAGUAUUUAAUAGGCAUUACUAGAAACCAAAUGUAGAUCAAAUACACCCAGAAUUACAAAAAACCUUGACCUACAUUAAGGUGACUUUCCCUUGCUUAUGAAAUGAAAUACGUUUUAAUAUCCUGCUUUUCUGUGUUCUUAGAGUGAUUCUACCCUACCCUUAUAUCAAAUAUUUCAACUGUCAAGGGUUCUUUAAAGGGUACCCAGGGGGGCCGAAUGGUUAACACGCACACAUUUGAUCAGAAGGUCUGUCAUUGAUUCAAAUAAUUCAAUUUUCAAGGGUUCUUCAAAGUGUACGCAGUUGGGUUGGUUUCAAUUCUGGGGGGUGGGGGUGGAUGGCCGAAUGGUUAGCACGUGCAUGCUGUAUCAUACGGCCUCCUGUCAUUGAGUCAACUGGCAUGGUUCGAAUCCCUGGUUGUAGACAAGGAGUGGGGUCGCCUGUCCAAUCUUGUGGGUUUUCUCCGGGACCUCCGGUUUCCUCCCACUGCUAAAGACCCCUACGCGCUAGCGAAUUAUUGAAAUAAAAUUAAACCAUAUGUUAGUCCCAAAAUGAUCUAGUUUGUGUCGAGUAGACGUUAAACCCCAUUUCUCUCUGUCUCUCUCUCUUUUGAUUCUGGGCUUGUACCCAAUUAUCCCUUGCCAUAUCCAACACUGAAAAGUGGGAACUAUGCCGGAAAAUCCAGUUGAAAUUUCGCAGGCCAACGCCUUAUGCUCACUGAACCACUGUGGCUUAUGACUUGUGAUUGUAUAUAAAUCUUUUGUACAUAUGAUAUUUUUUUAUUUCAAUCCUGUAAUCUUGAUGCUUUGCUUCUUUUAUUUAUAAAAUAUUCAUUUUGUUUGGGGUUUUUUUAAUGAGGAAAAGGCUCCUACAUCAUUUUAUUACUCCUGCAAAAUAGAGCAAUUUUCUUUUGUUAGUUUUCUGUGUAUGCUAGUUAUUUCUAGAUGCCUCACAAAUCACUUGUAGUGUGAUUUUGUAGCAUUUUUCAGUUUUUGAAAUUGUUUCAAUUUAGUGCAUAAUUAAUCUUAUUAGUGCUUAGUUUGGAUGUUAUUAAAUUUAGAUAUAUUUGAAUUAUAUAUUUUGGGGUAUGGGGUAGGGAUCUUGUGUACAUAUCUUUAUAUUCUCAGUUCUUGUUUUGGGGUAAAGAACAAUUUAAAUAGCUAUUUUAUAUUUUGUGAUGGGUAAAGUGUGUGGGGCAAAAAACAAUUUAAAUAGCUAUUUUAUAUUUUGUGAUGGGUAAA